CACCACAGUACCAAGCAAUUCUAUACAUAUAUAGAACUUUUUAUGUUAAAACUAGUAACAAGAAGAUACAACUUCUCUUCAAUGCAAGCAUACAUCAGACAGGACAAACCACUGAUAUUUAACAUACAUGAUUCUACAGUAGUAACACUACAAGAAAACCCUACUAAACCAAAUGUUAAUCUAACACCAGAGCAUUACAAGAAAGAUUAAAAGAAAGAGAAGGAACUCGGCAAAUUUUAACCCCGCCUGUUUACCAAAAACAUCGCCUCUUGCACACCUAUAAGAGGUCCAGCCUGCCCAGUGACUCUGUUCAACGGCCGCGGUAUCCUAACCGUGCGAAGGUAGCGUAAUCACUUGUUCUUUAAAUGAGGACUAGUAUGAAUGGCACCACGAAGGUUAUACUGUCUCCUCCAUCUAAUCAGUGAAACUAAUCUCCCCGUGAAGAAGCGGGGAUAAUUAUAUAAGACGAGAAGACCCUACGGAGCUUUAAACUAAGAAUCAUCUGCUUUACCCUCCUUCAAAUUUCAGAAGACUAACUUUUACCAAAGCACUCUGAUCUCUAGUCUUAGGUUGGGGUGACCACGGAGUAAAAACCAACCUCCGCAAUGAACCAGGAUCUUUCCUUAACCAAGGGCCACAGCCCUAAGAAUCAACACAUUGACAUCAAUUGACCCAAAAAUUUGAUCAAUGAACCAAGUUACCCCAGGGAUAACAGCGCAAUCCGCUUCAAGAGCCCCCAUCGACAAGUGGGUUUACGACCUCGAUGUUGGAUCAGGGUAUCCUAGUGGUGCAGCCGCUACUAACGGUUCGUUUGUUCAACGAUU
rnacentral:rRNA from 1 species